GGGGGUGUUUCAAGAUUCGCCCGGCGUUGAGGGAGAUUCGAUAAGCGUGUCGCAGCGCCUACUGCGUACCAAGGCAAAACUAAAUUAAACGCUAACAAUAGCAACUACAGCCGUUCUUACAACAGAAUGGCAAUCGCUGCGUAACAAUUAAACGCGCGCAUCGUCCCGAGCCAUUACACACGGCGCGGUGUUCGGUGUAAGACAGUGUGUAUCGCGGUUUGUCCGCACGGCUUUGCGGCAAAACGUUAAAUUCUUUUAGUCUUGGCGGUGUUUUUCCCGUUUGUCGGAAAGGCAUCGCGACGGUUGAAGGCAAACUUUGCACGGAGAAAAUCGAGUAGUCCUGCGUCGGUACACGGGUGCAAUUCCCGUCACCUCCACCA
rnacentral:tmRNA from 1 species